GCUACUGGCGAGUAUUCUUGGGUAAAUAUCACUUUAAAGCUGUUAUUGCUUGAGAAUACACGUAAAUAUU
rnacentral:pre_miRNA from 1 species